rnacentral:lncRNA from 10 species
UCACAGUCAAGGGAAAUGUAAAUGAGAAUAAAGAUGCAGUAUUAGGCCGAGAGUGGUGGCUCACACCUGUAAUCCCAGCACUUUGGGAGUACGAGGAGGUAGAUCACCUGAGGUCAGGAGUUCAAGACCAGCCUGGCCAACAUGUUGAAACCCCGUCUGUACUAAAAAUACAAAAAGUAGCCAGACGUGACUUCAGACAGACGAUUUUUCUUGUAAACAGAUGGUGUAAACUUAUAGUGUUGAUAAAUACAAGACUGUGGCAGGAGGAUUGCUUGAGCCCAGGAGUUCGAGACCAGCCUGGGCAACAUAGCAAGACUUUUUUUUUUUUUUUUUUUUUUUUGCGACAGAGUUUUGCACUUGUUGCCCAGGCUGGAGUGCAAUGGCGUGAUCUCCGCUCACUGCAACCUCCACUCCCGCGUUCAAGCGAUUCUCCUGUCUCAGCCUCCCAAAUAGCUGGGAUUAUAGGCAUGCACCAACACGCUCAGCUUUUUGUAUUUUUAGUAGAGACAGGGUUUCACAAUGUUGGCCAGAAUGGUCUCGAUCUCUUGACCUUGUGAUCCACCUGCCUUGGCCUCCCAAAGUGCUGGGAUUACAGGCAUGAGCCACCGAGCCUGGCCAAGACUCUUUAACAAAAGAAACUUAUGUGUUUAUUUUCAACUGAGCAGGGGUCAGUGCCCCUAACCUCCAUGUUAUUCAAGGGUCAGUUGUAUUUUCCAAGGGAUUUACAUAUUUAUUUACUUAUUUAUUUAUUUAUUUAUUUUUGAGACAGAGUCUCAAUCUGUCGCCCAGGCUGGAGUGCAGUGGUGCGAUCUCGGCUCACUGCAACCUCCACCUCCCGGGUUCAAGUGAUUCUCCUGCGUCAGCCUCCCGAGUAGCUGGGAUUACAGGCACGCGCCACCACACCUGGCUAAUUUUUGUAUUGUAGUAGAGACAGGGUUUUGCCAUUUUGGCCAGGCUGCUCUCAAACUCCUGACCUCAAGUGGUCCACCCACCUCGGCUUCCCAAAGUGCUGGGAUUACAGGCAUGAACCGCCAAGUCCGGCUGGGGUUUACAUUUAGCUCAAAGAAAAUCUGUGCCCUUGCUCCCCAUACCUUCACCCCGUUGAUAAAAGCACAGUUGGCUUCCAACACUGCCCUCUUUUCUCUGUGGCCACAGGCAGCUGUGAUCCCAGCCACUCACCAUUGUGUUUCAAGGUGUUACAGGCUCAACAAAAUAUAUGGCUAUAUAUUGGUGAUUUUGCCUCAACAACAUAUAUUGUCCCUCAACAAGAUAUAUUGAAGUCCUAACUCCCAGCACCCCAGAAUGUGACUAGAUUUGGAAAUAGGAUCUUUAC